CCUGUCAGAUGGUGGAUGUGGGGAGUUAAACCGAAAGGUUUGAGCAUCACAGAUCAACUCCACUGGCCAGUCCUCAACAAAGUGAUGAUGAAUGUUCAUUUUCUGAUAUCAUCAACCAUUCUGGUGAUAUGUCAUGGAGUCCAGGAGAGGAGAUGUUGAGUGAGCCCUCUGAGGAGGAACCAGAAGAGCUGGAAUCUCUCAGUGACCCAAAUGCUGUUGACAAGUUCAUUGUUUGCCAGAGGCAGUUGCUGACCUUGUUCACGGUUUGCCCUGUAUGCUGUGGGGAAACCCAGGGACACCCGGAAGGAACAUUUAUAAAAGUCAAGCAGGCCUGCAAAACUUGUGGUUAUGAGGCGUUACUGGCAAAACCAAGAGAAGGUGCAUCGAAACAUGCCUGCCUGCAACCUUUUACUCAGCGGUGCCAUCCACUUCUCAGGUUGCAUGGCUACUCAGACAAUCAGGAUGCUGAAGCUGUUUGGACUGCAGUGCAUAAGUCCCGGCACUUUUUUCCACCAUCAGCGCUUAUACACUAUCCCUACCAUCAUGCAGGCCUGGAGGAAUGAGCAGAGGGGGAUCAUCAGGGAGUUGAAGGAGACUGGGGGUGGAUUGAUCUUGUCUGGUGACUGCAGAUCAGAUUCUCCUGGACACUGUGCGAAAUAUGGUAGCUACUCCUUGAUUGAGGAUCGAAUUAACAAAGUUUUGGAUGUUCAGCUUGUCCAAAGCUCAGAAGUCCCAAGCAGCUCUUGGUGUGAGCUAGAGGGUCUAAAGCGGAGUAUGCAGUUCCUAAUGGACCAAGACAUGCAAGUGUCUGCUCUGAUAACAGACAGAAAUCGGCAGGUGGCCAAGUGGGUGCGUGAAGAAAUGUGUUCAGAAGGAACAAGGCAUUUCUUUGAUGUCUGGCAUAUUGGUAAAAGUAUACAGAAAGCACUGGAUGCAGCUGCAAAAGAGAGGAACUGUGAAGAUCUCAAGCUGUGGAGGCCAGCCAUUAUCAACCAUCUUUAUUGGACUGCAGCUUCCACCCAUACAGGAGAUCCAGAUGAGAUGAAGGCAAAAUUGCAGAGUAUGAUAAAUCAUGCACAGGACAUACAUGAACACAGCACUCCUGCAUUUACCAGCUGCGCACAUCCACCGUUGGAAGGAGAGGCAAGAGACAGGGAGUGGCUGGAACCAGGUUGUGUUGAGCUGUUGGCACUAACCUCUGGGACCGUGUCGCAUGAAGCACUGCUUGCUUCAGGUGGUGGCGAGAGACUCUCCGGCGGCUCGGGCUCGCAAGCGGGACUGGUGUCACAAUCAGCCUCAUUGCUAAGAUUACAACAGACUUCUCUUAGCAGCCCUACAUUACAAUAGUAAUGGCAACAGAGAUGUAGCUCGAACCAGUGAGGGUGAGGCACCCUACGCCGUUCGCUACCGGCGGUUUCAGAAAGGUGGCUGGGUAGUCCACCCCAUCAAGGAGAAACCAUCUUACGGAUACGCAACAAAUCUUAUGGUCUCUCUGGUAGAGGAAUACCGCAAGUCACCACAGGCCCUACAAGAAAGCAGUGCUGUCUUGUCCUCUGCUGCACUGCCCCCCUCACCUCUUCCCUCCAGAAGGUUGCCCUUUGGGGGCCCUAUAUGGGUUUACUAUGGGCAAGCCCACUCUGGGCUAGCCCAUGCGGGCCCCCAUGACUUUGCCCUUUUGGGCCCCAUGAGGGUUUUUUUGUGGGCCAACCCACUGUGGGCUUGCCCACAGAAAACCCAAACAGGGCCCAUAUGGGCUAGCCCAUGCAGGCCCCCUAUUACUUUGCCCUUUUGCCCACAAAAAACCCCACACAAGCCUCAUAUUUUCUAGCUAGCCCCCAUUAUUUUGCCAUUUAUUCUUGGAUCCCUCACAUUCAAGUCACCCCAUUUUUGAACUUUUGCCAUCUGGCCGGCGUUUCAGAGCCGCGAAUACCAGAACAGUAAGGCACAAAAACAGUUUCUUCCCCCAGGCAAUCUACCUCAUGAACAGUUAAAUGUUCCCCACUCAUACUUAUGCAAAAAAGUGCAAUAUCCUUAUAUUUAUGUGUUACCCCUCCAUUCUAGUACAUCCCUGCAUCUUAUUUAAUCCUAUUCAAUUGUCAUUUAUAGCACAAUUGUUUACACACCUAUUUAUUUGCCUACAAUUUUUGUCUGUGUGUUGGUGUCUUUGUGUACUGGAAGCUUAUGUCACUAAAACAAAUUCCUCAUAUGUGCAAGCAUUCUUGGCAAUAAAGCUCUUUCUGA